UCUGGUGUCCAUAGCAAAGAGGAAACGCCUGAUCCCGUCCCGAACUCAGAAGCUAAGCUCUUUAGCGCCGAUGGUACUGCAGGGGUCCCUGUGGGAGAGUAGGUCGAUGCCAGAA
rnacentral:rRNA from 1 species